AGCGGCGGACGGGUGAGUAAUGCCUGGGAAUAUGCCCUGAUGUGGGGGAUAACUAUUGGAAACGAUAGCUAAUACCGCAUAAUCUCUUCGGAGCAAAGAGGGGGACCUUCGGGCCUCUCGCGUCAGGAUUAGCCCAGGUGGGAUUAGCUUGUUGGUGAGGUAAUGGCUCGCCAAGGCAACGAUCCCUAGCUGGUCUGAGAGGAUGAUCAGCCACACUGGAACUGAGACACGGUCCAGACUCCUACGGGAGGCAGCAGUGGGGAAUAUUGCACAAUGGGGGAAACCCUGAUGCAGCCAUGCCGCGUGUGUGAAGAAGGCCUUCGGGUUGUAAAGCACUUUCAGUAGGGAGGAAGGUAGUGUAGUUAACACCUGCACUAUUUGACGUUACCUACAGAAGAAGCACCGGCUAACUCCGUGCCAGCAGCCGCGGUAAUACGGAGGGUGCGAGCGUUAAUCGGAAUUACUGGGCGUAAAGCGCAUGCAGGCGGCCUGUUAAGUCAGAUGUGAAAGCCCGGGGCUUAACCUCGGAAUUGCAUUUGAAACUGGCAGG
rnacentral:rRNA from 1 species